CAGGAGUUUAUUACCAGCCGGGACCUGAGCUGAGCAUCAGACUCGAGCCCCAACUGGGGGAAGAUAAACAUGUUUUAUACACCUUUUAGGCUAACAGUUCCUAGGCCCCCCUAUGGGAUAGAACUAGCGAAGCAAGCAAAAGGUACAGAAGCAGAAUGUCUUGCUGUUAGAACAUUUGUAAAACAAUAGUUGAUUGUUAUUUUUAAAGGGACUCUUUAAGGGGAGGAGGUUUCUAAGCUUCCUCCUUCUGAGUUCAUCUAAAGGACAGGCAAGGCAGGUGGGUCAAGCAGAAAUAUGGAGUCUGUCUUGCUAACUAGGGUCCUUCAUUCCCCACUGGUUCUUGCAACUUAAUCAAAUCUUUGAUUCCUGUAUUUACUCUUUGGAUUUUUUUUAAACGUCUUCUAAAAUCUCAUAAUUUUGUCUCAACACCAUCAAUUUUGAAACCAAUUUUGAUCCUUUUGUUGAGCAUAUUUAGUCUUUUUAAAUUUUCCCUGACCAUAGCUAGGGUAUCUCUAAUGACACCAGACUGAUUAGCAUAAAAGCAACAGGUUUUUUUUCUAGAGCUACACAUAAUCCUCCUUGUUUUAUGAACAGAAGAUUAAGUCCCCUUUGAUUUUGUAAGACCAUUUUAGCUAGGGAAUCAACCUGUUUUCAACCUGGAGAUUGAGUCUUCCACGUGGCCCAAAUCUCUAGCUACCUGGUGGCUUAGGGCUUUAAAAUUUGUGUCCUGAAGGAUUAGGGAGGAAGUUCCAAUAGCCACUGACCUGGCUAUUCCUAAUCCCACCAGAAUGGGUACUAAAAUGAGGGCAGCCUGUUUACUCCUAUAGUGUUCAGUGGUUAAUCCCAGAUGUUCGUGGCCCCCUUUUCCAUUAUAAUACAAGACUUGUGGAACAACAUACAUAGUAACACAAAAUAAACUGGCAGAUUGAGUGGCUAAGACCAACUUGGGUAUACACUUAGUCAAGCCCUUGGUACAAGCAAACAAGGCAUCUUCUGGAGCCUUAUAAUAUAAAGGGGAGCCUGGAGUUUUAUGGUUGGUGAAAGUUAAGUUACAUAAACCCUGGUGAACUAUCCAGGUUAUAAUUUGUCCCAGUCAGACAUGUUUCUGUUCCUUGUACAUUCCCUAAAGUUGGCAUAGGUUUGUUCCAGUUACCGUCAGUGGAAGACACAGAUUUAGGCACAGAGGUCACUCUCACCCCUACAUAAUAGGGGGGCUUUGGGUCUAGACAUAACCAACAAUCUCCUCUUUUUUUUUCCAGUCUAGACAAAUUUAGCAAUUUAUGAACCUUAGUUAAUAUCUGUAAGAUUGGUAUGGUGGUCUUCGGCCUCUUGGGGGUGGAGAUUUUCCAAAGGAGUGAAUGUUUUGACAUCA
rnacentral:lncRNA from 1 species